UGGGGAAUAUUGGACAAUGGGGGAAACCCUGAUCCAGCAAUGCCGCGUGUGUGAAGAAGGCCUUCGGGUUGUAAAGCACUUUCAGUGGGGAAAAAAGACUCAAGUCGAAUAGGCUUGAGUGUUGAUGUUACCCACAGAAAAAGCACUGGCUAACUCUGUGCCAGCAGCCGCGGUAAUACAGAGAGUGCAAGCGUUAAUCGGAAUUACUGGGCGUAAAGCGCGCGUAGGUGGAUAUUUAAGUCGGAUGUGAAAUCCCUGGGCUUAACCUGGGAAUUGCAUCCGAUACUGAAUAUAUAGAGUAUGGUAGAGGGAAGUGGAAUUUCCGGUGUAGCGGUGAAAUGCGUAGAUAUCGGAAAGAACACCAGUGGCGAAAGCGGCUUCCUGGACCAAUACUGACACUGAGGCGCGAAAGCGUGGGGAGCAAACAGGAUUAGAUACCCCCGUAGUCC
rnacentral:rRNA from 1 species